rnacentral:lncRNA from 1 species
GCUGCGAUUACAGCUGCAUGCCACUGUCUCCAGUGAGGCAACUUUUUUACUACACCAACUUCAGAUGACUGCUGUGUCUUCUGCACAAAUUUGAAGCUCUUUUGUGCUGCUAUCCCAGGAUCAUGCUACAACAAUAUUUCAGCUUCAGGAAAAACAGCAACAAGAAGGUAUAAGGAUGAAAUCCAGGGUUUUGGGCAUCAAGGCUUGCCUGGUGCCUAAGGAGGUCUGAAGAGAACACCAGACUCCCCUGAAACUGCCUAAUCAUAAGCCACGUUUCAGGGUUCAAGAUUAUAGGUUGUAUUGUGUGAUUACUCCUUGUAUUAAUAAGAGAAGGAAGACAGGCUGAUCAAGCACUAGCUCUAUGUUUGUGUCAGGUUAAUUAUGAAAGCACAUGAACAUCAUAUAACAGAAUCAAGAAAUGCUACAAAAAAUCACAUGCAGUGGUCAUUCAUGCAUACAUGUGCAGACUCAGAAGAGAUGGAGAGCUGCGAGAAAAUAGGUUAAAUGCCGUAAGACAUUCUAAUGAGUGACCAAGAUCAUUGAAAACGGUAAGGAGAGGCUUUCCCACUCACCUGGAACCAAAUGCUUCCCUCUGUCGUAUCUUAUCUAGGAACGAGGAAAUGCCACUAACUACAGGUAUGAUACUCUGUUAUGCUUGCAGACAGGAGCCUACCAUGGCUGUCCUCUGUGAGCCCAGCAGACCAUGGAAAGGGAUGCAGAAACACCCACACAAAGUAAGUUUUUAGUGAAGAGUAGCCAUAGAAAGGAAGAGAAGAAAGCCCCUACUGGAGGGUACUAGAGAUCUACAUCUCUGGGAAGAUCCAACACACAGGUCUCCAUCUACUGCAUAGUUUCACUGGAAAACUCAGCAAGUGUUGUGUGUGGUAACCUGGACGGAAGAAGUCAGAUUGAUACCUUUCUACUCUCUGAAGGAAAGAGACACAGCACCCGUAUGAAUACACCACUCAGUGGGAACAUUCAUUUCCAAGGACAGGAGGACUUAAUUUUGGGACUCUCCUGCAAUCAAUUGCAAGUGUACUUUCUUCUCUUCUGUUCUCAGUCACUCAGCACCAGGUACACAGGAUCUAGCAGGUUUAUUGCAGUUGGAGGACCCACCCUCUGUGGAUACCAGCACUCCAUGGCUGAAAUCCUGGACUGUGCAAUAAGAUAAAAUCAAAGGAAAAUUUCUAGACCGAAGAGUCUUUAAGCUGAUGGCAAGCAACCAGCUGGAAUUACUGAAGAGAUGAGCACUACUGAAAAGAGACUGCCUACACUGAACUAGGACAGCAGGAAUGGUGUCCUCAGGAUAAAACAGAACCCAGUGGGGGCUCCAUCCUGCGAAGAUCCAAAGUCAUUUAUAAGAAGACAGCUUAAACUGAAGGGGGUUCCCUGUUCCUCAAAAUCAACUACCCAGGAAAAUGUUUUGCCAAAGUCAGCACACAGAAGCUGAUAGAACUGUGCUCUGGUGGGUGAGACGCAAGUACAUCUUGACCUGGCAGUGGAUCUUGGAAGUAUGGCUUACAUGGUACUGGUAUUAGAGGCAUGAAAGAUGGAAGGUUGAAGGGGUCCAGGAAUCUUGCUCUAUGGUUCGAGAGAGAUGAUAUGUCAGGCAGUAUGGGACAAUAUUGGAAUUCCUGCUAAGAGGUUCUGAGAAGUCAUUUCAUGAGGCUAUGGACAUGAAGCCUGUUAAAUGGAGACCAUGGGGGUGCCAGAACUGUGGCUUACCCAUCAAGGAAAGCUUCAGAAAUGGAAUAGAGCCAUCCCAAAGCCAAGAGAGAAUGUGUGUUGCAGACAGCCAAGCUGGAGAGAUGGAGAUACCUAAGGCUUUUGGUGUCCAUUUGAUUAUAUCAAAAAUCCUAGUUGACCAACACGAAGGUGAAAGGAUUUUGUGUUCACCACAAUGGAUAUUGGUUUUGGGCUGGUCCAAUUAUUCUUUGCUAUACCCCAAUUGUUAUAUAUUGGAAUGGGACUGUUUAUUCUGUAUCAUCGUAUGCUGGACUAUGCAACUUUGUUUGUUUGUUUGUUUUAAUUUAUAAACACUCACAGUUAAG